rnacentral:rRNA from 1 species
UACGUAGGAUGCAAGCGUUGUCCGGAAUUACUGGGCGUAAAGGGCGCGUAGGCGGUAUACCAAGUCCGAUGUGAAAUCCCCCGGCUUAACCUGGGAACUGCGUCUGAUACUGGGAGGCUUGAGUAUGGGAGAGGGAUGUAGAAUUCCAGGUGUAGCGGUGAAAUGCGUAGAUAUCUGGAGGAAUACCGGUGGCGAAGGCGGCAUCCUGGACCAUAACUGACGCUGAGGCGCGAAAGCUAGGGGAGCAAACGGG